GAUGAACGCUGGCGGCGUGCCUAAUACAUGCAAGUCGAGCGAACGGACGAGAAGCUUGCUUUUCUGAUGUUAGCGGCGGACGGGUGAGUAACACGUGGAUAACCUACCUAUAAGACUGGGAUAACUUCGGGAAACCGGAGCUAAUACCGGAUAAUAUUUUAAACCGCAUGGUUCAAAAGUGAAAGACGGUCUUGCUUUCACUUAUAGAUGGAUCCGCGCUGCAUUAGCUAGUUGGUAAGGUAACGGCUUACCAAGGCAACGAUGCAUAGCCGACCUGAGAGGGUGAUCGGCCACACUGGAACUGAGACACGGUCCAGACUCCUACGGGAGGCAGCAGUAGGGAAUCUUCCGCAAUGGGCGAAAGCCUGACGGAGCAACGCCGCGUGAGUGAUGAAGGUCUUCGGAUCGUAAAACUCUGUUAUUAGGGAAGAACAUAUGUGUAAGUAACUGUGCACAUCUUGACGGUACCUAAUCAGAAAGCCACGGCUAACUACGUG
rnacentral:rRNA from 1 species